UAAUUUUUUUUAUUUAAUAGAAAUUAAAUAGAUAAUAACAUAAUUACAGAAAUACAAAAGAAUAAAAAUAGGUGAAAAGUAGAUUAAGAGCAAAUAGGACAAUUUCAGCAAUAUACCAUACAAAUUAAAGUGUACAAUAUACACAUGCAACCAGAAGCUUUAACUGUUAUACCAACAUAAUGCUGCUAAAAUAUUAUUGCUAAAAAAUCUGUUAGCUAAACAAACCCCCUACUGGUUUCUAUUUUGCAGAAUUAGAUCUUCCAUUAUAUCCUCUUUUAGCCAAGCCUCCCAAUUAAGACUAUCUAUUGAGAAACAAUAUCCAUGGUUCCCAUAUUUUCCAAUAUCUUUUGCUUUUAUUAUGAAGUAUAUGGCUUAUUUCUUCCAUCUUCCUAGUUUCUUCAACUGCCUGCUGCCAUUCUAUAAACCUCGGAGGAACCAAAUCUUUCCAAUGUCUUGGGAUUACUAGCUGCAUUCAGUAAGUGCAAGGUAUAAACCCUGCCUGGUCUUCAUGGAUUAAAUCCGAUUACUACUGAAAGGUCCCAAAAAGAAGUUAACACAUACAAAUAGUCCUGUGGGUAACCAGCUAAUGAAAAAUCAACACAUUGACUGAAUUUUUUGUGGAG